CGGCUUCCCCAACUUUCCUUUCUCUUAUAUACACCUCCAGGUGCAAAAAAGCCCUCCAAGGCUCCAAUCCUUGCCCUUCUUCUCCCUUCUUCUCCUUUUUUCCGCCUCUGAAUUAUUUUUCCCUUCGGUCUUCGAAGAUGAGCGGUCCUAAGUACGCUUAUCCCUACCCUGCUCAAGGGUAUUACCAAGGUCCUCCGGUCAUGCCGCCGCCUCACUAUUAUGCAGCUCCGCCUCCUCGCAGACAAACUGGCUUUCUUGAAGGAUGUCUUGCUGCUCUCUGCUGCUGCUGCCUUAUUGAUGAGUGUUGCUGUGAUCCUUCUAUCAUCUUUGUCAGCUAAAGGAUCUAUCAUGCCUUUCCUCCUGUGAAGUUUAGCUCUAUCUAUCUCUUCUGUUAAUAUUAUGGUUUGCUUUAUGUUUCCUUUCCUUAGAUUUAUGGAAUUUUAAAUUGUUUGUCCUUUAGAUUUGAGAUGGAUUCUAGAGAACAUAUUUGGAGCUAAGACUAAUUUGAUCUUUUUAUUAUAUGUAGAUUGUAACUUUGAAUAAUGAAAGGAGUCUCUUUCUCUCUCUCCUAUUUGUGAAAUGAAAAAUGUUUGUUGUUGUUUCUGUAAUAAUUGAAAUUUCAUUAGUGCUUUGUA